rnacentral:rRNA from 1 species
CAAUAGCGUAUAUUAAAGUUGUUGCAGUUAAAAAGCUCGUAGUAGGAUUUCUGGUGGGAGCGAUCGGUCUGGCGCUUAGCGCGAGUACUUGCAUCGUCUCCGGCCAUCCUUGGGGAGAGUCUGUCUGGCAUUAAGUUGUCGGGCAGAGGAUCCUCAUCGUUUACUGUGAAAAAAUUAGAGUGUUCAAAGCAGGCUUAUGCCGUUGAAUAUAUUAGCAUGGAAUAAUAAGAUAGGACUUUGGUACUAUUUUGUUGGUUUGCGCACCAAAGUAAUGAUUAAUAGGGACAGUUGGGGGUAUUCGUAUUCCGUUGUCAGAGGUGAAAUUCUUGGAUUUACGGAAGACGAACUACUGCGAAAGCAUUUACCAAGGAUGUUUUCAUUAA